rnacentral:rRNA from 1 species
GAACGCUGGCGGCGUGCUUAACACAUGCAAGUCGAACGAUGAUGCCCAGCUUGCUGGGCGGAUUAGUGGCGAACGGGUGAGUAAUACGUGAGUAACCUGCCCUUGACUCUGGGAUAAGCCUGGGAAACUGGGUCUAAUACUGGAUACUACCUCUUACCGCAUGGUGGGUGGUGGAAAGGGUUUUACUGGUUUUGGAUGGGCUCACGGCCUAUCAGCUUGUUGGUGGGGUAAUGGCUCACCAAGCCGACGACGGGUAGCCGGCCUGAGAGGGUGACCGGCCACACUGGGACUGAGACACGGCCCAGACUCCUACGGGAGGCAGCAGUGGGGAAUAUUGCACAAUGGGCGGAAGCCUGAUGCAGCGACGCCGCGUGAGGGAUGACGGCCUUCGGGUUGUAAACCUCUUUCAGUAGGGAAGAAGCGCCGAGAGUGACGGUACCUGCAGAAGAAGCGCCGGCUAACUACGUGCCAGCAGCCGCGGUAAUACGUAGGGCGCAAGCGUUGUCCGGAAUUAUUGGGCGUAAAGAGCUCGUAGGCGGUUUGUCGCGUCUGCUGUGAAAGCCCGGGGCUUAACCCCGGGUCUGCAGUGGGUACGGGCAGACUAGAGUGCAGUAGGGGAGACUGGAAUUCCUGGUGUAGCGGUGAAAUGCGCAGAUAUCAGGAGGAACACCGAUGGCGAAGGCAGGUCUCUGGGCUGUUACUGACGCUGAGGAGCGAAAGCAUGGGGAGCGAACAGGAUUAGAUACCCUGGUAGUCCAUGCCGUAAACGUUGGGCACUAGGUGUGGGGGACAUUCCACGUUUUCCGCGCCGUAGCUAACGCAUUAAGUGCCCCGCCUGGGGAGUACGGCCGCAAGGCUAAAACUCAAAGGAAUUGACGGGGGCCCGCACAAGCGGCGGAGCAUGCGGAUUAAUUCGAUGCAACGCGAAGAACCUUACCAAGGCUUGACAUUCACCGGACCGCCCCAGAGAUGGGGUUUCCCUUCGGGGCUGGUGGACAGGUGGUGCAUGGUUGUCGUCAGCUCGUGUCGUGAGAUGUUGGGUUAAGUCCCGCAACGAGCGCAACCCUCGUUCUAUGUUGCCAGCACGUGAUGGUGGGGACUCAUAGGAGACUGCCGGGGUCAACUCGGAGGAAGGUGGGGAUGACGUCAAAUCAUCAUGCCCCUUAUGUCUUGGGCUUCACGCAUGCUACAAUGGCCGGUACAAAGGGUUGCGAUACUGUGAGGUGGAGCUAAUCCCAAAAAGCCGGUCUCAGUUCGGAUUGAGGUCUGCAACUCGACCUCAUGAAGUCGGAGUCGCUAGUAAUCGCAGAUCAGCAACGCUGCGGUGAAUACGUUCCCGGGCCUUGUACACACCGCCCGUCAAGUCACGAAAGUUGGUAACACCCGAAGCCGGUGGCCUAACCCCUUGUGGGAGGGAGCCGUCGAAGGUGGGACUGGCGAUUGG